rnacentral:rRNA from 1 species
GCUAUACCAUGCUGAAUAUACCGGUUCUCGUUAGAUCACCGAAGUUAAGCAUCAUUGGGCGCGGUCAGUACUUGGGUGGGUGACCACCUGGGAACACUGCGUGCCGUU